CUCACUUACAGGCCCUUCUCAACAAUGUAGAGAGAAAUCAAAUAGAGAAAUAAUAGGAAGUUAAACACGUGAUAACACAGGUAAUAAUAAAUACACGAUGAGUAAUGAUAACUUGACUACACACUGGGCAGCAGUACUGAGUGGAUGUGCAGGGGUACGAGGUCAUUGAGGUAGAUGUGUAUGUACAUAACUACACUGGGCAGCAGUACUGAGUGGAUGUGCAGGGGUACGAGGUCAUUGAGGUAGAUGUGUAUGUACAUAACUACACUGGGCAGCAGUACUGAGUGGAUGUGCAGGGGUACGAGGUCAUUGAGGUAGAUGUGUAUGUACAUAACUACACUGGGCAGCAGUACUGAGUGGAUGUGCAGGGGUACGAGGUCAUUGAGGUAGAUGUGUAUGUACAUAACUACACUGGGCAGCAGUACUGAGUGGAUGUGCAGGGGUACGAGGUCAUUGAGGUAGAUGUGUAUGUACAUAACUACACUGGGCAGCAGUACUGAGUGGAUGUGCAGGGGUACGAGGUCAUUGAGGUAGAUGUGUAUGUACAUAACUACACUGGGCAGCAGUACUGAGUGGAUGUGCAGGGGUACGAGGUCAUUGAGGUAGAUGUGUAUGUACAUAACUACACUGGGCAGCAGUACUGAGUGGAUGUGCAGGGGUACGAGGUCAUUGAGGUAGAUGUGUAUGUACAUAACUACACUGGGCAGCAGUACUGAGUGGAUGUGCAGGGGUACGAGGUCAUUGAGGUAGAUGUGUAUGUACAUAACUACACUGGGCAGCAGUACUGAGUGGAUGUGCAGGGGUACGAGGUCAUUGAGGUAGAUGUGUAUGUACAUAACUACACUGGGCAGCAGUACUGAGUGGAUGUGCAGGGGUACGAGGUCAUUGAGGUAGAUGUGUAUGUACAUAACUACACUGGGCAGCAGUACUGAGUGGAUGUGCAGGGGUACGAGGUCAUUGAGGUAGAUGUGUAUGUACAUAACUACACUGGGCAGCAGUACUGAGUGGAUGUGCAGGGGUACGAGGUCAUUGAGGUAGAUGUGUAUGUACAUAACUACACUGGGCAGCAGUACUGAGUGGAUGUGCAGGGGUACGAGGUCAUUGAGGUAGAUGUGUAUGUACAUAACUACACUGGGCAGCAGUACUGAGUGGAUGUGCAGGGGUACGAGGUCAUUGAGGUAGAUGUGUAUGUACAUAACUACACUGGGCAGCAGUACUGAGUGGAUGUGCAGGGGUACGAGGUCAUUGAGGUAGAUGUGUAUGUACAUAACUACACUGGGCAGCAGUACUGAGUGGAUGUGCAGGGGUACGAGGUCAUUGAGGUAGAUGUGUAUGUACAUAACUACACUGGGCAGCAGUACUGAGUGGAUGUGCAGGGGUACGAGGUCAUUGAGGUAGAUGUGUAUGUACAUAACUACACUGGGCAGCAGUACUGAGUGGAUGUGCAGGGGUACGAGGUCAUUGAGGUAGAUGUGUAUGUACAUAACUACACUGGGCAGCAGUACUGAGUGGAUGUGCAGGGGUACGAGGUCAUUGAGGUAGAUGUGUAUGUACAUAACUACACUGGGCAGCAGUACUGAGUGGAUGUGCAGGGGUACGAGGUCAUUGAGGUAGAUGUGUAUGUACAUAACUACACUGGGCAGCAGUACUGAGUGGAUGUGCAGGGGUACGAGGUUAUUGAGGUAGAUGUGUAUGUACAUAACUACACUGGGUACCAGUACUGAGUGGAUGUGCAGGGGUACGAGGUCAUUGAGGUAGAUGUGUAUGUACAUAACUAGGAAUAACGUGACAGAUAGUAAAUAGUAGCAGCAGCGUAUGUGAUGAAUAACAAAAAAAGUUAGUGCAGAAAAGGCUAAAUGCAGAUAGUGUGGGUAGCUAUUUAACUACAGUGCCUUGCGAAAGUAUUCGGCCCCCUUGAACUUUGCGACCUUUUGCCACAUUUCAGGCUUCAAACAUAAAGAUAUAAAACUGUAUUUUUUUGUGAAGAAUCAACAACAAGUGGGACACAAUCGUGAAGUGGAACGACAUUUAUUGGAUAUUUUAAACUUUUUUAACAAAUCAAAAACUGAAAAAUUGGGCGUGCAAAAUUAUUCAGCCCCUUUACUUUCAGUGCAGCAAACUCUCUCCAGAAGUUCAGUGAGGAUCUCUGAAUGAUCCAAUGUUGACCUAAAUGACUAAUGAUGAUAAAUACAAUCCACCUGUGUGUAAUCAAUUCUCCGUAUAAAUGCACCUGCACUGUGAUAGUCUCAGAGGUCCGUUAAAAGCGCAGAGAGCAUCAUGAAGAACAAGGAACACACCAGGCAGGUCCGAGAUACUGUUGUGAAGAAGUUUAAAGCCGGAUUUGGAUACAAAAAGAUUUCCCAAGCUUUAAACAUCCCAAGGAGCACUGUGCAAGCGAUAAUAUUGAAAUGGAAGGAGUAUCAGACCACUGCAAAUCUACCAAGACCUGGCCGUUCCUCUAAACUUUCAGCUCAUACAAGGAGAAGACUGAUCAGAGAUGCAGCCAAGAGGCCCAUGAUCACUCUGGAUGAACUGCAGAGAUCUACAGCUGAGGUGGGAGACUCUGUCCAUAGGACAACAAUCAGUCGUAUAUUGCACAAAUCUGGCCUUUAUGGAAGAGUGGCAAGAAGAAAGCCAUUUCUUAAAGACAUCCAUAACAAGUGUUGUUUAAAGUUUGCCACAAGUCACCUGGGAGACACAGUAAACAUGUGGAAGAAGGUGCUCUGGUCAGAUGAAACCAAAAUUGAACUUUUUGGCAACAAUGCAAAACGUUAUGUUUGGCGUAAAAGCAACACAGCUCAUCACCCUGAACACACUAUCCCCACUGUUAAACAUGGUGCUGGCAGCAUCAUGGUUUGGGCCUGCUUUUCUUCAGCAGGGUCAGGGAAGAUGGUUAAAAUUGAUGGGAAGAUGGAUGGAGACAAAUACAGGACCAUUCUGGAAGGAAACCUGAUGGAGUCUGCAAAAGACCUGAGACUGGGACAGAGAUUUGUCUUCCAACAAGACAAUGAUCCAAAACAUAAAGCAAAAUCUACAAUGGAAUGGUUCAAAAAUAAACAUAUCCAGGUGUUAGAAUGGCCAAGUCAAAGUCCAGACCUGAAUCCAAUCGAGAAUCUGUGGAAUGAACUGAAAACUGCUGUUCACAAAUGCUCUCCAUCCAACCUCACUGAGCUCGAGCUGUUUUGCAAGGAGGAAUGGGAAAAAAUGUCAGUCUCUCGAUGUGCAAAACUGAUAGAGACAUACCCCAAGCGACUUACAGCUGUAAUCGCAGCAAAAGGUGGCGCUACAAAGUAUUAACUUAAGGGGGCUGAAUCAUUUUGCAUGCCCAAUUUUUCAGUUUUUGAUUUGUUAAAAAAGUUUGAAAUAUCCAAUAAAUGUUGUUCCACUUCAUGAUUGUGUCCCACUUGUUGUUGAUUCUUCACAAAAAAAUACAGUUUUAUAUCUUUAUGUUUGA